UGGGGAAUAUUGGACAAUGGGCGCAAGCCUGAUCCAGCCAUGCCGCGUGUGUGAAGAAGGCCUUUUGGUUGUAAAGCACUUUAAGCGAGGAGGAGGCUACUUGGAUUAAUACUCUAAGAUAGUGGACGUUACUCGCAGAAUAAGCACCGGCUAACUCUGUGCCAGCAGCCGCGGUAAUACAGAGGGUGCGAGCGUUAAUCGGAUUUACUGGGCGUAAAGCGUGCGUAGGCGGCUUCUUAAGUCGGAUGUGAAAUCCCUGAGCUUAACUUAGGAAUUGCAUUCGGUACUGGGAAGCUAGAGUAUGGGAGAGGAUGGUAGAAUUCCAGGUGUAGCGGUGAAAUGCGUAGAGAUCUGGAGGAAUACCGAUGGCGAAGGCAGCCAUCUGGCCUAAUACUGACGCUGAGGUACGAAAGCAUGGGGAGCAAACAGG
rnacentral:rRNA from 1 species